AUUAUACUCCCUCCGUCUCAUAUUAAUUGACUUAAAUUUGUCCAAAUAUAGAUGUAUAUAUGCAUAAAAAACGUUUAGAUACAUGUAAUAAAAAAGUCAUUUAAUAUGGGACGGAGGGAGUAUGCA
rfam:Brachypodium distachyon strain Bd21 chromosome 1, whole genome shotgun sequence.